UGGGGAAUAUUGCACAAUGGGCGCAAGCCUGAUGCAGCCAUGCCGCGUGUGUGAAGAAGGCCUUCGGGUUGUAAAGUACUUUCAGUCGGGAGGAAGGUGUCAAGGUUAAUAACCUUGGCAAUUGACGUUACCGACAGAAGAAGCACCGGCUAACUCCGUGCCAGCAGCCGCGGUAAUACGGAGGGUGCAAGCGUUAAUCGGAAUUACUGGGCGUAAAGCGCACGCAGGCGGUUGAUUGAGUCAGAUGUGAAAUCCCCGGGCUUAACCCGGGAAUUGCAUCUGAUACUGGUCAGCUAGAGUCUUGUAGAGGGGGGUAGAAUUCCAUGUGUAGCGGUGAAAUGCGUAGAGAUGUGGAGGAAUACCGGUGGCGAAGGCGGCCCCCUGGACGAAGACUGACGCUCAGGUGCGAAAGCGUGGGGAGCAAACAGG
rnacentral:rRNA from 1 species